UCGUCGCUUCGUUUCGUUGAGCAGCGCAGGCGUUGCCCUUUGAAUGUUUGUUUGUUUUCGCCCUCGACCACCCUUCAUGUAAAGAGGAAAGCAGAGGAACCAGAGGAAAGCGCGCGUUCUCACGGUACGAUGUUCAGGGAGGAGUAGCGAGUCUGUAAUCGGGAUCGUCGCAUCAACGGGGAGAGACAGGCCUCGCAAAAGUUCGCCGUAGUGUGACACACUCGCCGCCUUCUCUUUCGCUUACUUUACCUGUUUCCACGGUACUCUUCUACGCAUUGUUCGUCGUACAACGCGAAAGAAACGCGCGGCCGAUCGUAGAAUCGCAAAGUGCGACCGGGACCCAGCCGCACCGGUGCCGAUUUCCUUCGAGAAAUCGAUUCGGUGAGGAAACAACAGCCCGGAGCCAAGCACAAGAAGACGAAGCAAAGACGAAAAUUGCAGUGUGAAUGAACGUGGAUAGUCACUGAACAGAUAAAAUUAGUGACUAAUACAGGAGUAACCAUGGAGGACGGUCAUAGCAAAACAGUGGACGAGGUGGUAAAUUUCUUUAAUGUCGAUUCUGACAAAGGAUUAUCUCUUGACCAAGUUAAGAGGAACCAGGAGAAAUAUGGUCUCAAUGAAUUGCCAGCCGAGGAGGGAAAGUCUAUAUGGCAACUCGUCUUGGAGCAAUUCGACGACCUUCUAGUUAAGAUUCUUCUAUUAGCCGCUAUUAUUUCUUUUGUAUUAGCUUUAUUUGAGGAGCACGAGGAUGCGUUCACGGCCUUCGUCGAGCCCUUCGUCAUUUUGCUCAUUCUUAUUGCCAACGCCGUGGUCGGUGUGUGGCAAGAACGUAAUGCCGAGUCUGCGAUCGAAGCGUUGAAAGAGUACGAGCCUGAGAUGGGCAAAGUCCUGCGAAUGGACAAAGCCGGCGUCCAGAGGAUUCGUGCCAAGGAGAUCGUGCCCGGCGACAUCGUGGAAGUGUCCGUCGGUGACAAGAUCCCGGCCGAUAUCCGUCUAACCAAGAUCUUCUCGACUACCCUCAGGAUCGAUCAGUCUAUUCUGACCGGUGAAUCUGUCUCGGUGAUCAAGCAUACGGAUCCUGUGCCUGACCCACGUGCCGUCAAUCAGGACAAGAAGAACAUCUUGUUCUCUGGUACUAACGUAGCCGCAGGUAAGGCUCGCGGUGUCGUCAUUGGAACUGGACUGAACACCGCCAUUGGUAAGAUCCGUACCGAGAUGUCCGAGACCGAGGAGAUCAAAACGCCUCUGCAACAGAAAUUGGACGAGUUUGGCGAACAAUUAUCGAAGGUUAUCUCCGUGAUCUGCGUGGCUGUCUGGGCUAUCAACAUUGGACACUUUAACGAUCCCGCUCAUGGUGGAUCUUGGAUCAAGGGAGCCAUCUACUACUUCAAGAUCGCCGUUGCCCUAGCCGUAGCCGCCAUUCCCGAAGGUUUGCCGGCUGUAAUUACCACUUGCUUGGCUUUGGGUACCCGUCGUAUGGCGAAGAAGAACGCCAUCGUGCGAUCCUUGCCAUCCGUCGAGACCUUAGGUUGUACCUCUGUCAUCUGUUCGGACAAGACUGGUACCUUGACCACCAACCAGAUGUCUGUUAGCCGAAUGUUCAUCUUUGAUAAGAUCGAGGGCAACGACAGCAGCUUCCACGAAUUCGAGAUCACUGGUUCGACCUACGAACCAGUGGGUGAGAUUUUCUUGAGAGGCAAGAAGAUUCGUGGUCAGGACUACGAAACUCUUCACGAAGUCGGUACGAUCUGUAUCAUGUGCAACGACUCCGCUAUCGAUUUCAAUGAAUUCAAACAAGCAUUCGAGAAGGUCGGCGAGGCAACAGAGACUGCUCUUAUCGUUCUUGCGGAGAAGAUCAAUCCGUACGGUGUCUCUAAGAGCGGACUGGAUAGGCGUAACACGGCCAUCGUUGCCAGACAAGACAUGGAGACGAAAUGGAAGAAAGAAUUCACUUUGGAGUUCUCUCGCGAUCGCAAAUCUAUGUCUUCUUACUGUACACCCUUGAAACCAACUAAAUUGGGUACUGGACCGAAAUUGUUCGUUAAGGGCGCUCCAGAAGGUGUCUUGGACAGGUGCACGCACGCUCGUGUUGGAUCUACCAAGGUUCCUCUUACGUCUACUCUGAAAAACCGUAUCUUGGAUCUGACUCGUCAAUAUGGUACUGGCCGAGACACUCUGCGUUGUCUUGCUCUUGCCACUGCUGAUCACCCAAUGAAACCUGACGAUAUGGAUCUUGAUGACUCCACGAAGUUCUACACGUACGAAAAGGACCUCACCUUCAUCGGUGUCGUUGGUAUGCUUGACCCACCUCGUAAGGAAGUAUUUGACUCGAUUGCCAGGUGUCGUGCCGCUGGUAUUCGUGUUAUUGUCAUUACUGGUGACAACAAAGCUACCGCUGAAGCCAUCUGUAGACGUAUCGGUGUCUUCGGUGAAGAUGAGGAUACGACCGGAAAGUCAUACUCUGGACGUGAAUUCGAUGAUCUUCCUUCGUCGGAACAGAAGGCUGCCUGUGCCAGAGCUCGUCUGUUCUCUCGUGUAGAACCCGCUCACAAAUCCAAGAUCGUUGAGUUCUUACAAAGCAUGAAUGAAAUUUCGGCUAUGACUGGUGAUGGUGUAAAUGAUGCGCCUGCUCUGAAAAAAGCCGAGAUUGGUAUUGCUAUGGGAUCUGGUACCGCUGUCGCGAAAUCUGCCUCUGAGAUGGUAUUAGCUGACGAUAACUUCUCUUCCAUUGUCGCCGCCGUUGAAGAAGGUCGUGCCAUCUAUAACAACAUGAAACAGUUCAUUCGUUAUCUGAUUUCUUCCAAUAUUGGUGAAGUCGUAAGUAUAUUCUUGACUGCCGCCCUUGGUCUUCCCGAAGCUCUGAUCCCUGUACAACUUUUGUGGGUCAACUUGGUAACUGACGGUCUUCCAGCUACUGCUCUCGGUUUUAAUCCACCUGAUCUGGACAUUAUGAGCAAGCCCCCUCGUAAAGCCGACGAAUCUCUCAUCUCUGGUUGGUUGUUCUUCCGCUAUAUGGCUAUUGGUGGAUAUGUAGGUGCUGCGACUGUUGGAUCAGCUGCAUGGUGGUUCAUGUACAGUCCGCAUGGACCACAGAUGAGCUAUUAUCAACUGACUCAUCACUUGGCGUGUUUGGGUGGUGGCGAUGAAUUCAAAGGCGUUAAUUGCAAGAUCUUCACAGAUCCUCAUCCCAUGACGAUGGCUCUGUCUGUACUUGUAACCAUUGAAAUGUUGAAUGCUAUGAACAGUUUGUCUGAGAAUCAGUCUCUCGUCACUAUGCCGCCCUGGUCUAACAUGUGGCUCAUUGCCUCUAUGGCUCUUUCUUUCACACUCCACUUUGUCAUCCUUUACAUCGACGUCCUUUCGUCUGUAUUCCAAGUUACUCCUCUAACGGGCGAGGAGUGGGUUACCGUUAUGAAGUUCUCCAUUCCAGUGGUACUUCUCGACGAAACUCUUAAGUUCAUUGCCAGAAAGUUCGCAGAUGGUGAGAAUCCAAUUGACUCAGUGCUUUGGAUCGUUCUAAUGUGGGCUGUGUUCUUUGGACUAUUAAGUAUUUGUCCCAUAUAGAACGUCCGUGAAAACAAACAUUUAGUCUAACAGACAGUGUUUUUCCUAUGGAAAACAUUUUGCAACUGAGUUCUCGGACUUGCAAUUGCAUUUAAACAAAAACCGAAGUUCUUCCCCGUUGCCCGGGAAGCCUCGAAGAUAAGUUAUUAAUUGAAGUGCGUUUAAGUGAGAUUUUAACCAGUUUGACUGUUGUGCAUGGUGUUAGUACAACCAAUACAGAUUUGCCACCAAGGCCCACCAUGCCCGCAUCACACCGUACCCUGAAGUCGCUCUACAAUCAUAUUACGGGUUUCAGUGGCUUCGAGUGAUAAAAAAGAGACCCCGCGCAAUCAAAACUAUUGUGAUUGUUAAAUUAUUUUCUACGAGUGCCUUUUAAACAUUAACUUUCCCUCCCCAACAAAAGAAAAGAAAGAAACAACACCCACCAAUGUUUUUUCUAACCUUGAUACAUUAGUACACCCGUUUCCCUAACCCUGUUGUUAAAACGUAUACACAUUGCAUGAUAUUCGAGCACAAUGCACUUCUAAAACAUUAAUUUAUUCAUAGGUAGUUUGUGGUAGUACCUUCGAUUCUGUGUAGCCUGUAUAUUACUGUUUUAUACGUACUGCACAUCUGACGAUGUCUUAGCGUAUAAAAGAAAUUUCAAUAUUCCUUUAUUCCACUUCACUUGUUCCAUGAAUUUCUUUUUAAUAAUUGAGCAGUAAGUUAUUGCAAGUAAAGUCGAAUAUCAAAAUUCUCUUUAAAUUAGUUAAAACAUCGACAGAAUAGAGUCCUAGAGAGCAUGUUGCACGAUAUUUUGCGGUAGUUCUAUUUUUGGGCACUUAACUUUUCUAACGCACAGCAGCACACACAUCAUAUAAUUUUGUUCGUUUCAUUUUUAUUUGGAGAACAUCCUUAGAUGUUUUAUAUUUUCCUUACCGUAUUUAUUUCUAAUUUUAAUUUUCUCUCACUGUUUAUCUUUCUAUCUAACUCUAGCCGCUUUUGUUGUUGCUUGUUCUUAAAACACUUGUUGUUAUUCGUUAAUCCUUAGCACUUGGAGUGUCUCCUUCGAUCAAGACGACAAAACUGGAACUGCCUAACCCGUUGCCGAAAUAUCAACACAAAGAUUGUGCAUGAAGUUGAAAAAUUAAUGGAGCUCACCUUUGAACCCGUCUAUUAAUUAUGUCUUCCUUCCCUCGUAGACGAGUAAUUGCAUGCACAACCGUACUACCGAUGGUAAAUCCUAACCAAAACAAGAAUAUUCACCUCGUAGAACAAUCACUAUCAAUGGUUUUCGAAUCCUGCUGUGCUUUACCUAUUUCCUUGACGACACUCAAUUGUUACAUCUGUUUAAGGCAUUCUUUAAUUACUCGAUAUUUAGCCUGGUGCGAGUAAGAGUCAACUUCAACAGUGUACAGGUAAAAAACGAAAUUUAAUUUUAAUCUUCACUGUUGAAUUACGUUAGCACGGCAGGAUCAUCCUAACAUCUUUGCACUAUCAUUGCAUCCACGCUGUUACCUUCACGUGUACUUUACUGGAUGUGAUUUGUGUCUAAACAAUCGAUGCCACGUAAUAGAUUUGUAAUACCACUAAUUCACCAGACACGGGCUGCAAAGGCUCGUGCGUAUAAGAUACAAGAAAGAAAUAAUUCGACACUAUGAUCUAUGGUCUUUGACAGUCCGUGUCUCGUCAUAUUAAUCUCCCUCAGGAUGGUGGUCUGAACGCGAGAACGCUCGAUCAGCAGGUAUAUCUUUGUUCCUAUUAACAACAAUUGCCGACAGUUCGAGGCAUUGGAAUCUCUUCACUUGACUCUUUCAUUGUGGAAUUAUAGAUAAAUAACGAGCGAUAGUUUUAGCGUAUUUGAAUAAUAAACCAUUUCUACGAAAGCACACGUUAUCAGAUGAAUAAAAUUGACUUUAAUCAAUAAGUCGACAGAAGUGGAUCACCGCGAUGAAAGAGUUGACACCAUCACGAACGUUCACUGUCCGAUAAUCUAUUUUUCCUCCCUUUUCUUUGUACAGAGACACGAUAUAGUUUUCACAUAUAAGAAAUUUGUAAAAAUGAAUGUUAUGAAUGUUAUUUACCCUGGACAGUAUAAAUGUGUUAGAUCAGCUCUUGCCACGUUACAAACGUUGCUCAGUCGAACGUCCAAGAGAACUGCAUACAUAGCUUUUCCUGUAUAAAUACUUUCAUAUCCUCAUUAUCAUCGUCGUCGUCGUCUUCUUCUUUCUCCUCUUCUAGUUGUUCUUGUUGUUACAACCAACGUAGAUAAGAAUGCUCGAGCAUCGAACGAGAUUUCGAGUUCAGAUUCGCCAUCAGAUACCCAUGCUAUAUAAUAUACACGCGCCACGUGCGAAAGCGAAAGAUCCGGUGUCGUCACGAGUAUACGUGGGCCUUUUUAACGCAUCUAACUGCUGUUUCUUAGUCAUUUCUCUCAUUUGGGGCUUUAUAAAUCGUACCACGUUAGGAAGAUACGAGGAAAAAAAAUAGUGUCAUUCGGCCGAGUCGAGUGCCGUGUUUUCAUUCUUUUUUUAUUUUUUUUUUUUUUUUUUUUUUGCGAGCAAACGAAGGCGAAAAAUAUAAAUCGGAUAAGCCAUACCUCGACCACGUGCAAACGCAACAAGACUGACGAUGUGGUCUCGAGGAUCGGUUUGCGUACCUUUUGCGUUCGAAAAAAGACGAGACGAUGAGAACGUUCUCUCCUUUUUUCUCCGUUCUUUUUUUUUCUUUGUGUGUCCACCGUUCGUUUGACGCGACGAGUGCAUAUAAUUAAUUUAAUUCUGCGUGAGACAGCGUCAUUCGCAGUGUAACGACUAGUGUAAUAUAUAAAUAUACAUAUAUUUAUAUGUAUAUAUAUAUAUUAAUUACCGGUUAGGGCGCCAUAAUACUUUGGUAUAAACAUAAUUAAACUUAAUCAGACCUGUGAACCAAGGAUUCGUAAAGAAACAUCGAAAAGACUUGUACGAUCCGUUUGUCCACGUGCUUAAGGUGCAGCGCUAGAGCGUGCGCGCACUCUAAACCACGCUUUUAUUUUAUUUCAUAUUUUUCCCUCCUUUUUCGACUCUAUUCAACUCACUAACUUGUAUGUUUUAUUCGAAAUAACGGAAUUUACUUUUUGUACAGCGAGAUAUGAUGAAGUAUCGGCACGAUUUUCUCCGAUAAUCUCGUGUAAGACAUAGUCGAUAAACGAAAAAUGAGAGUGUAACGUUAUAAAUGUUUAAUUUUCACUUUUUUUCUUCUUUCCCUCUCUUCGAAUUGAAUUAUCGUAUCAGCGCGGAGAUAUCAGCGAAGAUCGUAGCGCCGAUACGGUCAGAAAAAGCAAAAAGAAAUAUUAAAAAGAUGAUUGAAAGAAAGAAAAAAAAAAGCAAAGUAGAACGGUCUGACAGCACUUCAUCAACGCUCAAUAAACAUUGACGAGAGAAAUUCCGUGCUUUCUUUCGUUCACUCGACGUCUCGAACGUUUGUAAGUACUUGCAUAUUGUGUGGAUUGUGUUCUCUUCAUCUUUCACUUUUCCUUUUCUUUUGCUCUUCGUUUACUUCCUACCUUCUAGUUAACUCUCAUUGACGAAAGAUCCGUGACAAAGAAGCCGAGGAGCAGUAGAGAGUGCCAUCGAUGAAAGAGAAGGCCAAUGCAGCGUUGGGCAAUUGAUCGCACGUUUGAGUCGCGAUCGGCGCGCGCCUUCGAGGAAUAUCUCCUUCGAUCGGCGAUCGAAAGAGAAAUUAUUUUAGAAUCUGUCAGACAAAAACAGAAAAAAGAAGAUAUAUAUAUAUAUAUAUAUAUUUUGACCUAUCUACCUUCGUAGUAUAAAUCUUCUCAUUCAAACCUGAAGAAGAUAUAACUCGAAACGUAUUGAUUAAUAAUUGAUUAAUAAUAAUAAUAAAGAAAAAGAACAAAUAAAAAGCGAGAAAGGGAGAGAUAAAUGAAUUAUUAAAAGUUCCACGUUUUUUCGCAAGAAGCUUGCCCAACGCUUCAAGUAACCUAAUCUAGUACGAUAUAGCUACGAUGAUGAAACCACGGUCGCAUCGUUCGUGCAGGAAGUACCUAUUUCUAAUGAUAUAAUGAGAUAAUAAUAAUAUUAAUAUUAAUAAUAAUAAUAAUGAUUAAUAACUUAUAAUAGAGAGUGCGACUACAUUGAAUGAUUUUUUUUUAUGCAUACUAUCAUCGCCACGGAUGCACGUUGUGGCGAGCCACGGUGUGUGAUGAUCCUAAUUAAUUAGACCCGGGUAUAUUCAUAGUUUAACGAGUAACCGGGACGAGGUUCGAUCUUGUACACGGAAAGAAGAAGUUAAUUAGUAAUAUAAAGAAUUAUAAACGAUCGCGAGUUACUCGCUAUGAAAUAGAACAGUUUAUAUAUAUGUAUAUAUAUUCUAUUUCAUAUAUAUAUAUAUUAUACGUGUAUACCAAUAUUUCGAUCGAUGAUUGUAAAUUAACAAAAAGACAACGUCGAUCGAUUUAUAGGCGACAGAUAUUUUCAUCUGCCGUUAGUAAAAAUCGAAAGGUUUAUUUAUCAGUUUAUUUUUAUUUAUUCGAGUACACAUACACACAAACACACACAUAUAUACGCAUACUGAAGUUCGAAUCGAGACCGGAAGAACAAUUAUAAGUGAAAGUAUAAAUAUCGCAUCGCGGCUAUCAUUAAUCUCAAUACGAUGAUUAACUGCGGUCCGUUAUCUAGUGCGUUAAUUGUUGUAAUAAAAGAUAAGAAAGAAAAAAGAAAGAAAGAAAGAAAAAAAAAACAACGAUGUGUUACUAAUGCGUGUUCGAAGUUUCAUUGAUCGGCCUACCACGAGUUAGAAAUUACUUGAUAAGAAUACGGUAUAUAAUUGAGAAGUGGCAUCUGCCGCGUGUACGAACAUCGAACACUUAAUACAAUGUGAACUGUAAUAAGUGUUUGUCUCCAUUCACGCCUGCGACUAUUUGUACCUUCUUCUCUCUCAUUCAUUCACUUCUCCUCCCGUUCCCAUGAUCUGUUUGUAUCUUAUCCUUUACUGUACUACGACGUCCCGUGCCGUGGUUAAUAUUGUUAGCGAUUUCUGGGUGUACAUGGUACUUUUUUAAAAAAAAAAAAAAAAAGAAAGAACAUAUUUUCUUUCCUCUUUCUAGUACUUUUCUUUUUUUUUUUUUUUUUUUUUGUUUAUUUAUUAGGUAUAGAGAUGAAGGCAAAAUAAAGGUUUUUGAUCAGUCGAAGUGACUUUCUUAAACUUCAUUCCUAUAUCUUUUUCACUCGGUUUCUCAUAUUUUCUUCUUCUUUCUCAAUUUCUAAAUCGAAGUACCGGCAAAACGUUUAAUGGACACUUGGAGACCUCUACCAUUCUUAACUACCGUAACCUGGAUCAGAAAUUGCUCCAGGAUUCCGACUCGCUCCGUUAUCGACCGGACGUGCGAGGAAUUGGUCGAAAGGAUGUGAAAUUCGCGAGAGUUCGCUCGCGCAACCGGAAGCGGACCAGUUGGGAAUCGUCAUCCGCGACUCGACGCUCGAACAGUCACAACCAUCUCGCGUUAUAUUAUACAUCAUCAUCACCGGCCAUUCUGUGUUCCCCUCGGAAUUGUUGUUUGAAUUUUUUGCAUGCUUCCUCUGAACAGAUAAAAACACAAUUUGAAAAUCAAAGAUGAACAGAAUACCAAUAUAUAACUGUCCUGUUGGCCUGAAUGACUGAACAAAACAAAAAAAAAGCAAUCUACUCCUAAUCGAAGAAGUUGACCCCGACACACUUUUCUUUGCUAACUCCUGCCUGCUGAUGUGUGAAAACUAUUCAGUCACAGAGUAAAAACGUAAUGUCCGAGGAGAGAUCGCUGCUCCACGCGUGGAUCCAUCAGUGGCACCGCCUGUGACGCCGCCGAAAUAAAGCUCGGGAACCGCGAUAGGACGAAAAUCGCCAGCAGUCCGGACACAGAGAAAAAGAUCGUCAGAAUGGCACUUAAACAACACCCACCCAAGCAACAACAACCCGCAAGCUGACCGAUGGGAUCGAGCCGAAAACAGAGAUCUUAUGAGACACCAUCGACACGUUAUACACCGACACACGCAUAUGUACACACAUACAUACACCAACCACACACACAAUGCUAUACAGUCGUAUACAUAUAGAGAAAGAACAGACAAAACGGAAACUACGAAACGACGGGGCGCGUUCUUCGCUUUCGUUAAACAAAACGAUUCUGUAUCAUUGGUAGAACGAGUAUGGCGAGUUUCGAGGAAAUUUCAUAGCAAGCGUAGACGAGGUCCGAGUGCCUGGGUUUGGGUGUUAAUUUCGUUGGCUGUUCUCUCGGUGCGUUGACACGUUUGCCAUCGGUGGUUUUCUGUGUUGCUCGCCUUCCCCCGUUUUCAAUGAAAAAGACGCUAAUUAAAUAUGUAAUAAAGGAAAAGACAAGAUGUAUAUCGUUGAACGUGUCGAUAUUUCAACAGUCUAGCAGUCCGAUAAGAAGUUUACAAAUUGUAUAUUAAUAAAGUAUGUUUGAAAUAUGUCUUCUAUUUAUAGACAAAAAAAAAAAAAAAUUGAUCGAACACUUCGCUAUACUCGUUCCACCGAUUAUGCUCAAUAUAGUGACCGUGCCCUGAUAGAGGGGUGUUCAGAGACAGACAGACAGAGAGGGAGAAAGAAAGAAAGAGAGAGAGAGAGAGAGAGAGAAAGAGAGGGGAAGAAAAAUUCACAUUCGAAGAGACAAAGGGGGUACUCGUCAUCCACGGCGGUGCGAAAAAUGAUCGAGGAAGUUCGAGGCAAAGAAAGAACGAAAAAAAAGAAAAGAACAGAUACGAUCGAUCACAGCUUCAGGCUCAGGCUUCGAGAAUCCGGAAGGACUGGAGUUCUCGAGGCAGUUGCAGGCAAAGAGAUACAAACGAACGUCUAAUCGGAGCAGCUUGCCAAGUUUGUCACGGUUGAUCCACACGAUAGAUCGAAGGAUCGACGAGCAAUUUGAAAAGUCUUCGCGACGCGGUGUAGGGAAAGAAUCGAACUAAUCGAUGUGUGCCUGUGUUAUUAUGUUGCAGCAAACGAAGCGGUUGUCGACAAGUGGGCCUAGGCUUGUCUCGUCGUGCUCCGUCGGCAACAGAAUUCCUCUGCCAAGCACGAACCAAAAAACAAUCCAUACACGCGUGUACACACACACACACAUAUACCAAAAAAAUCAAUAUUAAUAACGGUAAUAUAACACUGUAACGAAAAACUAGGUGAAAAGGAGACACGGAAGAGAAGCAAGCACGGCGGAAAGCGAAGACACGAAAUAGUGGAACCGGUGGAAGCGGAGAGGAACCAGACUGGAGCCGUGCGAGAAAUUCCAAAAUUCCAACACUUUCAGGGAAGGUCGAAAGAAAUUCCAGAGAAAUUCGCGCGAACGUUACGACGAUGUGAUAAUCACGAGUGAGAACGAAAGAUAAACGAAAGGAGAAAGAUUAAAAAUUCGAAUGAUGUUUAGGUAGAGACACGACCUGCUGUAACGUUAGAGCGGCUGGACUGCGUCGGUAAUGCAGGGAGGAGCUGAGAUAGAUCGCUCUCUAUUAUCGUUUUACACCUACUCCGAUUUCCUGGCUGGCUACCGUGUCACGCACUGCCGCUGCUUUUCCGUUUCAUCGUCUACUGGUCCUUGCAGGGAUUUUGUUCGCGUGUUUCCUAUUCUUUGUACAGGGAAUGUAUAUGUACAUAAUAUACCGUGUCGUAUCGUGUCGUCGGUGAAGCCGAAACGCCGCGAAGAGUAAAUGAAGAGAUUGAAAAUCGUGGUUUCUGACGAAGAGUAGAUAAAAAAAAAAUGAAUGGAAAGGGGAGAACAAAUCUUUUUAUGUUUUAUUUAGAACAAUACGCUGAUUUAAAUCUUUCCACCGACGGUAUGAUUGUUUCUUUUUUUUAGAGUCGCGUAACGAUCGAACGGUACGACUCUUCGUUACCAUUAAUUCUAUAACUUCUUUAACGUCGGUAGAAUUUAUUGUAGUGUUAGCUGGUAGAGUUUUUUAUUUAUCUUUAAAGGAGUUAUGUUUUCUUCAAUUAAUUAGCAAACUAACUGCAGAAUUAUCGAUAUCUUUCUUUUUUUAAAUUGAGUAAGGAACUUAUUACCGGAUCCAUUUAUUUCACAAUUCUAGCUCAUUCUCUUUACGAACAACUUUCUUCUUUUCCUUUUCUUGUUCUUUCUCUCUUCUCCUGGCUUCUUUUUUUCUUCUAUCCAUUCCUUCUUCUUUCUCGAUCUUUUUUCUCUCUGUCUCUCUUUCUCUGCCUCUCUUUCUCUGUCUCCCUCUCUUUCUCUCUCUCUGUCUCUCUCUCUCUCUGUCUCUCUCUCUCUGUCUCUCAUAACUUCCACGCGUUUCUUUUCUCUAAUCGUGUCUUCUUAUCGCUAUCCUCAAAGACACUCUAUAUUUUCUACUGAAAAGAGACACACCUGUGCAUCAUCCUGGAAAGACUUUUUCCCUUGAAAUGUAUUCAAGGUUCCUAUCUGAAAAAUACUCCAAUAACCACGAAACGCUCCAACGGACACCGUCGAACGUCUAGCAGAACGCUCGAAACGCGAUGAAACACGCGUUUCCGCGAUGAUGAUCGUCACGAUGAUUCUAGUUCUCAGCCACCGAGGACGUCGUUGUCAACAUCACCGAGUUUACAGUUCUUUCCGCUGCAAUUGUCGUACCUCGGGGAACGUGCUCGAGCGAUUUUCGGCGAGAGGCACAGCGAUCGAGGUGAAGAUGAAAACCGGGACGUCGAUUGUCGAAAGUUACAGAGGGAACUUCGUCGUUGAAAAUUCUGUCGAAGCUCGGCUCCAGGAUGGAAUUCGCAAUGGCGUAGGAGGGUAACAAAUAACGACGAAGGCGGUGGAAAAGCAGUGAGAAUCGACGAUGCGUUACCUCCCUUUUGUCGUUGGAUCGUGUGGUACACGUUUUUAGGACGAGUGAAAGUAAUAAAAAUGGUAUAUCCUGAUCGGUGACGUAACUUUCAACGGAGGCUUCCGGCGUAACGAUCGUCGUUCCCAUUAAAACGACGACGAUGGAUCGGUGCCACCCACUCGGAGGGUGUAACGAUCGCGGAAGCCUCCUGACGCUCACGAAACUUACGCCACUAGAGAGAAGAAUUUAAGAAGAAUUGUUAAUAAUAACGAUGUUAAAACAUACACAAAACACACACAGAAAAAAAAAGAAGGAAAAAAAUCGAUGAAGCUCGCGAGAUAUAAUUAUUGUACAUAAAAAGAGUAAUGAAAGAAUACGUUGUCACGCGCGAUAUUUAGAGAGAAAUUGAUUAUUAUUAUAUAUAUAUAUAUUAUGAUUAAGAGACAUUAAAUAUAUAUAUACAUAUAUUUUUCUUCGUGAAGAAAGCGCACAGACAGUCGCAGACCCGAGCGACCUCUCGGACAAUCGAACGGACGCCUCUCGAGCGAGAAGGAUUCGAAUCGACAGAAACGAAGAAAACCCGGAUCCCCUGUGCUUUUUCUUUCUCAGCUUCGUUUCCUGAUUUUCUUUUUCUUCCUUCGAGUUUAUUUGGUUUAUUAUUAAGAUGGAAUUAACUGCCUGUGAAUAUUUCUGAUUGUUAGGAGAGAAAAAAAAAACAAAGAAAUUAUCUUUCUUUUACCUGGAUUCCUCUUUUCUCUCCAUCUGCUUCCCGUUUCUUAUCAUCGAUAUCGAUGGAAGAUGUUGCCACCCGACGAAUUACUCUCGCUUCCUUUUGUCCGUUUUCGUUCUGUUCUUGUUUCUUCUUGCUUGAGACCCUUGCCCGUAGCUAAUAUAUCAGACGGUUCGAUGAAACGAUCAGUCGAUUCCUACGAAUCUUGGCGAGAACACGAACGUAAGGAGGAACUCGAUUCGGUUACUUUCGCUGUCUGUGCCAGGAACACAAUGACUCGUGGCUCGUUGGCAAGAUUUUUUACUCGACAUCCUACAAAGAAGCAACAAUCCUGCUGGCAAAGCUACAUUCUGAUAAAAAAAUUCGUUAUCUUUAUAAUUAGAAAUACCGAACUUCGUUCUUGCGCCCGUAAGAUGAGUUUAAACGUCUGACUUUCGAAUUAACGAGCAACAGGCAUCGUGUAUCGUUCGUCUAGAAAUCGUCCAAAUAUUACACACUGUUAGCUGUUAAUAAAUUACGUAAUAACGUGGCAAUAAUUAGAUAUCUUCGAAAAUUGCCUUCGACGGCCAACUAAUUUCGCUUUGCCUUCCAUUUAGCGCGUAAACGCGGAAUACGCGCCGGUAUACGAACAAAAGACGAAAGUUUACAUACGUAACGUUUAGCGUGUUAAGGCUAAGUAGCUGCGCAUUUUUGCCCGAUAGCGUAAUUUUCAAAUAGCGUGUUCGAAUUGGGCGACGCACCGAUCCACAGCUAACCGAUGACCCAACCAACCACUGAGUCAUCCGCAAACGAAAACGUUGGAACGCGCAACGAUAUCGUUUUCAGCAAACUGUGACACUUUUGAUCUCAAGUUUUUCCAUCGUCCGAGAUGCUCUCCCACAAUUCUCUGCCUUUUAACAUCUAUUUUCCACGUAUCGUCACUUCCCCCAAUUUUUCAAGCUCUCUUCUAAACCACUGAUCGAAGCUUUACGCAAAGUUUUAGGAAAUUUUUAAUAAGAAACGAUAGUUAUCUUGUCAAAUUUACUAAGUUUAGCAUAUUAUCACAGUAAUUAUCGAAAGACGAAUAUAACAAGAGAAUUGACGAUGGACUCUGCUUCAAAGAAAUAGAGUCAAUCGCAAUUUCUUCGAAGAAGAAAGGAAAAGACAACGGUGAUACGCCAGCGAAACGGACGUCGUUUUGGUCCAUUGUUACACGAAAGGACGUUGCCUAAUCGUUCUCGCUCGAGGUCGCAGUACACGUCGAGAAAUUUCGUUGUAUUCUUCAGAAAACGGCGGCAAGCCUUGCGUUAUUUUUAAUGUUGUACGUGAACAGCUCUGUACGAAUAAAGGUUUGGAAGUAACGGAG